rnacentral:rRNA from 1 species
UACGGAGGGUGCGAGCGUUAAUCGGAUUUACUGGGCGUAAAGCGCGCGUAGGCGGUUUGGUAAGUCAGAUGUGAAAUCCCCGGGCUCAACCUGGGAAUGGCAUUUGAUACUGUCGAACUCGAGUGUGGUAGAGGGAAGUGGAAUUCCGCAUGUAGCGGUGAAAUGCGUAGAUAUGCGGAGGAACACCAGUGGCGAAAGCGACUUCCUGGACCAACACUGACGCUGAGGCGCGAAAGCGUGGGGAGCAAACAGG